GCGCCCGUAGCUCAGCUGGAUAGAGCAACGGCCUUCUAAGCCGUUGGCCGCACGUUCGAAUCGUGCCGGGCGCG
rnacentral:tRNA from 1 species